CCUACGGGUGGCAGCAGUGAGGAAUAUUGGUCAAUGGGCGGAAGCCUGAACCAGCCAAGUCGCGUGAGGGAUUAAGGCCCUGCGGGUCGUAAACCUCUUUUGCCGGGGAGCAGAGGUCAGGACGUGUCCGGGCCGGGAGAGUACCCGGAGAAAAAGCAUCGGCUAACUCCGUGCCAGCAGCCGCGGUAAUACGGAGGAUGCGAGCGUUAUCCGGAUUUAUUGGGUUUAAAGGGAUCGGAGACGGCGCGGCAAGUCUGAAGUGAACGGCAGGGGCUUAACCCCUGAACUGCUUUGGAAACUGCCAUGCUAGAGUGCUGGAGAGGUAAGUGGAAUUCCUAGUGUAGCGGUGAAAUGCGUAGAUAUUAGGAGGAACACCAGUGGCGAAGGCGGCUUACUGGACAGUAACUGACGUUGAGGCUCGAAAGCGUGGGGAGCAAACAGGAUGAGAUACCCGAGUAGUC
rnacentral:rRNA from 1 species